UCGGUUACCUCAAGUUGUUAUUUCUGUUAUUAAAUUUGUUGCUUUCUGUUAUUUUCUUGCAACUGAAACAUUUUUGUUAAAGAUUAUUAAAUUUGUUGCAAUUACACUUUUAAAUCUCAAAUACGCUGUGACGAUAUGCUUAAGGGCUUGAGAAGGAUAUAUGUGGAUAUAUAUUUACAAUGAGUUUGGUAUCGCAUCGUGGCUAACUGAUGUGGUUAAGUAGCUAUUGUGCGUAGGUUGACUCAUUCCAACUUCUAAAGGUACUUGCAUAUAUCCCUAUUAUUAUAGAUUUUAGAUUCAACUCCGAUGAAUGAUAAAUUGAUAUUUAAUUAUGUUAAGCACAUUGUACAAUUUAGUCUAAUUCUCAGUUUACAGUUGUGUAAAAAGGAUUAAAAUAAUCUAGGCAAAUGAUCCAUCAAAAUUCUAAUAAUUAAUCCGACCAAAAAAAUUAAGGUUGAAAAAAUAAACAAAAUAAAUACAACUCUAUCUACAUAGACUCUCUGUCACCUCAUAUUUUUUGGUAUAAUAUUUUAUAAUACGAACACAUAAAUUGACGUUAAACAAGUCUAUGGAGAGCCUCAUUUUGAUUUGGUGAAGAAGAGUGCAGUUUGCAGUAGCACGUGACGUCACAGGAACGUCCUCCGGGAACUCAGGAACAAGGCAAACAGACGAUCGCCGAAUCGUGUUCGAUUCGGGUUCGCAAGACUCAACUGCCUCUCAAACUUAUCAUCCGUCCGAUCAACAUACUUUUGUUGUUCCAACCUGUCGGAGAACUUAUUGAACUUUAGGAGAUACCGGUGUGGGGUCUUCCAAGCACCACUCUUUGGGCUUAUGGCAAUCGAGUCAAUGGGAGAUCAGGGAUUGUGGAUACAUUCCAUCAGAAUUAGUCAGCAAUUAGAAUAAAAACUGAAAAUGAAUUAUAUUCCACCAGUUUUAAACACAAAUAGUGGCACUAAUCACAUAUUUUGCAAGUAUAGCAGAAAUAUGAACACGAACUAACAAUUGAAACCUAUGGUAGAUACAAAUUGCCUAAACAAUUGAAACUUGUUUGAUCCCUAUAGUAUUUGUGAGUUGAAGAAGUGAAAUAAUCCAGGCCCGAGCUGUGUCAUCGACAUUCAGUCAGGAAGGCCUCGAUAGGAGAGUGGGUUGUAGGUCAAUGCUGACUGUGAUAAGUCAGUAAGAAAUUUAGGAAAGGCCUACUGUUUGAUGCUGGUUGAUGGCUUUUCAGUCAGGCUAAAGUUCGAUGGGCCAGUUGAUUGGUGGCCGAACAGUGAGAAAAUGUUUAGAGGAAUAAAACCAACUGUUACAUUGAAGGAGGCUUAGGGUUACUGUGGCCACCCCUUCCUGUAUGGGAAAUAAAUAGAUGGGUUACUGUACCCCCUCUCUUGCUCUGUGUUUGUUGCUUUCUGUGUUGUUCCCCCUUGGGUGGGCUUCGUGUUCAUUUGGCUUCGGUCCUGGUUAUUUUAUUUCUAGUUCUCCAAAAAAAUAAAAAAUAAAAAUAAAUAAAUAGAUGGGAUGAGUGUACCACAGCAACAUGUAUACGGAGUGUACCACAGCAACAUGUAUAUGGUGUGUGCUUCCAUUCCAAUCAACUGUUUCCAUAUAUCAAUUUCUUCUUGGAAUUUUUUUUUAACUUAUGCACAGCCAGGCACCUCCUUCCUUUCAUCCUUUAAAAUCUUGCACAAAAGAUUUAUUCGAUACAAAUGUCCCUGGUAUAACUUAUUUGUGGCUUCUUUCUCUUUGUUUCUUUUCCGGUUUGUUAUAGGGGUUCUUCUUGCUGCAGAAUUUCAAUUUGGGUUCUUGUUACUGUGCAAAUGCUGCCUGUGGUAUCUAUUAAUUUUGUUGCUGCUCACAACACCAUUAGAAUAGCUCCAUAAGCUGCUUCUUAAGCUUCCGUCUUAUACCUAUUUAAUUCUAUUUUUGGACCAACAAGUAUAAAUUGCCUUCAGUUGCUCCAAUCCUUUAGUCCUUCCCAGAUCGUUAAAAGUUUUCUUUAAACUUUCACCUAACAAGAAAUGGUCAUUUCCUUCAAUUACCAUUUACCAAUCAAGUUCUGUUCUUAACUAGGUAUGCAACUUUGCCUUAUUUCAAAUAUCCACUGGGACCACCGCUCGUCUGGGAUCCUUUGGCGAGAUCCUCCUUGGCUUUCUCAACUGCUUCCUGGCUUUCACCGAGUGCAGAUCAGAGAGAGACUGAAAUCUGCGUGCACCACCACGCAUCACCAUCUUCGCAGCUGCCAUUGUCAAGGUUAGAAAGAGAGGGGGCAGAGAGCAGAGAGAAAGCCAAGGAGGAUCUCGCCAAAGGAUCCCAGGAAGUAGUUAAGAAAGCCAAGGAGGAUCUUGCCAGAAACAUUGAGCGCCUCAAGCUCUGGACUCACGCCUUUGUACAGACCAAGAAAGACCUACAACUAGCCAUCGAUCUUGGCGAGGAGCACCACUGGAACGCUUCUUUCAGCGCCAGCUGCAGUAACCCUCAACGCAAGGUUAUGCGGAAACUUGCAGACACGUCCAAGGUCGAUCUGAAAUCCCAAAGAAUGACCGACAUUGUGGAGAUGAGCAAUAAGCCAUCCACUGUGCAGCAAUAGGGCAAGAAGGGAACAACGAAAAGGGAAAAGGGCAAAUAGACAGAGGAACGAAGCCACAUGAAUAAGAAGGGCAAAAUGGCAAGAGUGAAAGUGUAAGGGCAAAUUGGGGAAGUCGAGGGUUCUUUAUUUGCCCUUUCCCCUUUUCACUGUUCCGUUCUUGCCCUGUUGCUGCACAGUGGAUGCCUUAUUACUCAUCUCCACGAUAUCGGUCAUUCUUUGGAAUUUCAGAUUGACCUUGGAUGCGUCUGCACGUUCCCGCAUAACCUUGCGUUGAAGGUUACUGCAGCUGGCGCUGAAAGAAACGUUCCAGUGGUGCUCCUUGCCAAGAUCGAUGGUUUUCUUGAGAGAGAAUUUUCGACUGAAUAUUUGGACUAGAUGGCCUCGACUUAUAUAGUCGUGUGUUCCGAAGGGGAUUGGAGGGAAAGAAAGAGUUGGUUACCUCAGGUUGUUAUUUCUGUUAUUAAAUUUGUUACUUUAUGUUAUUUUCUUGCAACUGAAACAUUUUUGUUAAAGAUUAUUAAAUUUGUUGCAAUUACACUUUUAAAUCCCAAAUAGGCUAUGACAAUAUGCUUAAGGGCUUGAGAAGGAUAUAUGUGGAUAUAUAUUUACAAUGAGUUUGGUAUCGCAUCGUGGCUAACUAAUGUGGUAGGUUGACUCAUUCCAACUUCUAAAGGUACUUGCAUAUAUCCCUAUUAUUAUAGAUUUUAGGUUCGACUCCGAUGAAUAAUAAAUUUGAUAUUUAAUUAUGUUAGGCACAUUGUACGGUUUAGUCUAAUUCUCAGUUAACGAUUGUGUAAAAAGGAUUAAAAUAAUCUAGGCAAAUGAUCCAUCAAAAUUCUAAGAAUUAAUCCAACAAAAAAAAUUAAGGUUGAAAAAAUAAACAAAAUAAAUACAACUCUAUCUACAU
rnacentral:lncRNA from 1 species